rnacentral:rRNA from 1 species
UACGAAGGGGCUAGCGUUACUCGGAAUUACUGGGCGUAAAGGGCGCGUAGGCGGCGCUCCAAGUUAGGCGUGAAAGUCCUGGGCUCAACCUGGGAACUGCGCUUAAGACUGGAGUGCUUGAGGAUGGAAGAGGGUCGUGGAAUUCCCAGUGUAGAGGUGAAAUUCGUAGAUAUUGGGAAGAAACACCGGGUGGCGAAGGCGGCGACCUGGUCCAUUACUGACGCUG